rnacentral:snoRNA from 1 species
AGCUUUUUUUCCAGUUUCAGAAGCAGCACAUGCUUGGAAAACAUGUCAUGUCCCACAGACUAUUUAAAAAGGAGGCGGGGUACCCUGUGUACACCUCAGUCCAGGGCCUGUGCCUGGCCUGUAUCGUGAAUGGGGGGGACAUGG